rnacentral:rRNA from 1 species
CCUACGGGGGGCUGCAGUGGGGAAUAUUGGGCAAUGGAGGAAACUCUGACCCAGCAACGCCGCGUGAAUGAUGAAGGUCUUCUGAUUGUAAAGUUCUUUUCUGAGGGAAGAAGAAAGUGACGGUACCUUAGGAAUAAGCCUCGGCUAAAUACGGGCCAGCAGCCGCGGGAAUACGUAGGAGGCGAGCGUUAUCCGGAAUGACUGGGCGUAAAGGGUGAGUAGGUGGUUUGGGAAGGUAGUAGCGUAACUCUAGGGCUCAAACUUGGAACGACUACUAAACCGGUUGGACUUGAGUGCAGGAGGGGCAACCGGAAUUCCUAGUGUAGCGGUGGAAUGCGUAGAUAUUAGGAGGAACACCAGUGGCGAAGGCGGGUUGCUAGACUGUAACUGACACUGAGGCACGAAAGCGUGGGGAGCAAACAGGAUGAGAUACCCGUGUAGUC